GGAACGUUUACACUUCGUAAUGACCGAGGGUUUGAACCAUAACACGCCCUGGAGUUUGGCCCAGGGACGGUGGGGAAGAAAUGGCACUGGUUAAUACCCUGUGUAGAUGACGGUACCCGACUAAGAAGCACCGGCUAACUACGUGCCACCACCCGCGGUAAUACGUAGGGUGCGAGCGUUAAUCGGAAUUACUGGGCGUAAAGCGUGCGCAGGCGGUUUGGUAAGUCAGAUGUGAAAUCCCCGGGCUCAACCUGGGAACUGCAUUUGAGACUGCCGAGCUGGAGUUUGGCAGAGGGA
rnacentral:rRNA from 1 species